UCUUUUUGUCUACUGUAAAGUGUAUUUGAGGAGCACACAGUCCAGGUUGACAGGGAAGGUCCUUAGCACAACAGAAAACCAUGAUGGUUGUACCUACCUGGUAUCCGCUUUUGGAUGUCAGAUCAGUGCCCGAGUGAGUAAGACGUUUAUGACCUCAUGUAAUACUUGGGAAGCUGCUCAUGACACACCAACCUCAGGUCUUGAGGUUGAAUCCAGAUUCACUAAUGCUAUGUCCUUUUUCAUAGAUGCAGGGUGGCUUCAGGAAGUCUCCUAGGCUCUGUCUGGGGUGGGAGUCAAGCCCAGCAGAAGAGCCUUCCUACACAUAGAUCUUCUAUGUCUCUGCACGGAUACGAGGCCCUCCUAUGUUCCCAAGCAGAGAAUGUGUAGGAUGCUCAGAGUUUUCUGUGAAGUCUACACUCACACGUGAUGGAGGCGAAACAACAGACUCUGGAACAAGGAACAUGCAUGCCAUUCAUGUCCCUUCUUUUCUUCAGGGUGAGUGUCCUGAAUGUACCCACUCUGUGCCUUGAAUAGAUGCCCACUUCCACAAGAUCUGGUUGUCAUUAUCUUAAAUAGUGAUCAAUGAGAAAAGGCCCAUCUCAUUGUGGAUGGUCCCAUCUCUGGGCUGGUGGUCCUGGGUUCUAUAGGAGAGUAGGCUGAGCAAACCAUGAGUUAGUAAGCCAUGUACCAUUCUAUGACCUCGGCAUCAGCUCCUGCCUCCAGGUUCCGGUCCUGUUUGAGUUCCUGUCUUGGCUUCCUUCACUGAUGGACUGUACUGUGGAAAUAUAAGACAAAUAAACCUUUUCCUCCUCAAGUUGCUUUUUGGUCAUGGUAUUUAAUCGGAGCAGUAGAAAGCCCAAGGCAGUCACAGUGCUGGGGGAGUUGGGACAGGCAGAUCCUUGAGUUUCACUGAAAAGUCAGCGCCUUGUCCAUCAGUGAACUCAACGUUAUACUCCCCACCCCUUCCACUAAAACAAAACAAACAAACAAGACAUGACAAGAAACCAACCCAGGAUGCUCUUGUAGAGGCUUCUUGGCUGCAGGAAUGUAGAAUAUGCUAUGUUGCAGGGAGUUGAGGAAUGGUUAGGGACAACCUAAGAAGA
rnacentral:lncRNA from 1 species